UGAUGUGGGCCUGUGUCUCAUCUUGCCUCUUCAUUCUUGUAGCCAUUGCUAAUGCACAAGCACCUGCAGCCUCACCUUCUGUCUUGCCAACUCCCACGCCAGUUGCAGCCACACAGCCACCCUCAACUCCGGUCAUACCCGCACCUGCAACCACUCCUGUAGCAUCACCCUCUCCUAAAGUUUCGCCAGCUUCGAGCCCCACUGUCCCACCCCCUCAAGUUCCACCACCACCAAAUCCACCAGUCUCAGCUCCAGUGCAACCACCAGUGCUACCAUCGCCACCUGUUGCUUCACCUCCACCUCUGCCACCUUCCAUACCACCACCACAGGUAUCCCCAGCACCAGUCCAAGCACCACCACUGCCAGCACCAGCGCCCC
rnacentral:lncRNA from 1 species